GUGCCAGCAGCCGCGGUAAUACGUAGGUGGCAAGCGUUAUCCGGAAUUAUUGGGCGUAAAGCGCGCGUAGGCGGUUUUUUAAGUCUGAUGUGAAAGCCCACGGCUCAACCGUGGAGGGUCAUUGGAAACUGGAAAACUUGAGUGCAGAAGAGGAAAGUGGAAUUCCAUGUGUAGCGGUGAAAUGCGCAGAGAUAUGGAGGAACACCAGUGGCGAAGGCGACUUUCUGNGUCUGUAACUGACGCUGAUGUGCGAAAGCGUGGGGAUCAA
rnacentral:rRNA from 1 species